rnacentral:misc_RNA from 1 species
UCCGAGUUGUCCCCGGCAGUCCCCUUAGAGUCCCCGGCUUUACCCGCUGGCAACAUGGGAUAGGGGUUGCGCUCGUUGCGCCACUUAAGGCAACACCUCACGGCACGAGCUGACGACAGCCAUGCAGCACCUGUGCCGGCUCCCGAAGGAGCGCCGUGUUUCCACGGUUUCACCCGGCAUGUCAAGCCCUGGUAAGGUUCUUCGCGUUGCGUCGAAUUGAGCCACAUGCUCCGCCGCUUGUGCGGGCCCCCGUCAAUUCCUUUGAGUCUUAGCCUUGCGGCCGUACUCCCCAGGCGGGGCACUUAAUGCGUUAGCUGCGGCACGGGGGGAGUCGACACCCCCCACACCUAGUGCCCAUCGUUUACGGCGUGGACUAC